rnacentral:sRNA from 2 species
AACGUGCCAGAGAGGAAGCGGAGGAGGACGAUCCCAGUGUCCGCGUUGUCAUUAAGAGGAAUGAGCCGCUGCCGUCGUCGUCACCUCAGGAUGGGGUGGAACAUGGCCUGCUUCACCAACUUCGCAACAUGUGGGAGUUCUCAAAUCUCAUCCAGUUUAUCUACUCGUUCGGGAAGGCAGUGAAGAUUAGUGGGGAUAUUGAUAUUGACGAACUGGAAUCCGAAUGUCUUAAGCCUGGCCCUUCGGAAAAACUUCUCGAUAUCGGCUUAACCCUGCUGAAAUUUGUCUCAUCCCAUCGCGGACUCACAUAUGAAAACUUUGAAGACUACACUAGGAGACAAUAUCUAGCGAAAGCACCCUCUCGUAACCCAUUCGGUGACGCGGAGGAACCGAUAAAGUUUCAUGAUCUAGAUCUUUUCCAGCGAAUACGUGUCUUGCAGCAAUUGUCUGUAUGGACGUUCUGGAACCCAGAUCGCAUACGUGAGCGGAUGCCGGAAAGCAAAGAAACGGACC